rnacentral:rRNA from 1 species
GUACGGGGGGAGCAAGCGUUUGUUCGGAUUUACUGGGCGUAAAGGGCGCGUAGGCGGCCACUGCAAGUCAGUUGUGAAAUCUCCGGGCUUAACCCGGAAAGGUCAACUGAUACUGCAGGGCUAGAGUGCAGAAGGGGCAACUGGAAUUCUCGGUGUAGCGGUGAAAUGCGUAGAUAUCGAGAGGAACACCUGCGGCGAAGGCGGGUUGCUGGGCUGACACUGACGCUGAUUGUGCGAAAGCUAGGGGAGCGAACGGG